rnacentral:rRNA from 1 species
GACUACCCGCUGAAUUUAAGCAUAUUAAUAGGCGGAGGAAAAGAAACUAACAAGGAUUCCCCAAGUAGCGGCGAGCGAACAGGGAAGAGCCCAGCACGGAAUCCCGCGUGGCAACGCGCAGGGAGAUGUCGUGUGUGGGAGGUUCCGCAUUCUCGGGUUUCGGUGCCGAGUUCAAGUCUCCCUUGAACGGGGCUACAGCCCGUAGAGGGUGCCAGGCCCGUAGUGACCGGCACCGUGCCCGAGAGGAGCUCUCCUCAGAGUCGUGUUCCUUGAGAGUGGAGCACUAAGUGGGUGGUAAACUCCAUCUAAGGCUAAAUAUGACCACGAGACCGAUAGCGAACAAGUACCGUGAGGGAAAGUUGAAAAGAACUUUGAAGAGAGAGUUCAACAGUACGUGAAACCGUUCAGGGGUAAACGGGAGAGAUCCGAAUAGGCGAAAGGGGGAGACUCAUUCUUGUCCACGCAGGGCGCCCGAAGUUGCCUUGGGGAUGGCCCCGGCCAGCGGUCGCGUCGCAAGGCGCGCUCCGUGUCGGUCCGGAGUCACCCUUGGCCCGGAAGCACAAAGUCCCUGGUGCUGGCGAGGUGCACUUCUCCUCCGAGUAGGACGUCGCGACUCGUUGGGCACCGGUCUGCAAGGGCUCUGGGAAUUGUCCUUAGUCGACCUCCGAAGCCGGUUUGGCUCGGGCCAAAGGUCGCCGGGAACCUGUUCUGUGCCUGGCCGGAGCCCGACGGUAUAGCAUGGCGGAGAAGGCCCGCUCCUUAACUGCGAGUGAGCGUCCGGACCGAGGGCAAGCUCUUCGGGUGGUGUUUCGGUGGUCCGUGGCGAACGCCACGCCCCCGGCCCCCGUCGGCUGUUGGCCCACGGAUUCCUCGGACGGUAGCCGUCUCCCGUCGGCGGCGCUUAAAGCUUCGGUCUCUUUCCCGACCCGUCUUGAAACACGGACCAAGGAGUCUAACAUGUGCGCGAGUCAUUGGGCUGUCUAAACCCAAAGGCGCAGUGAAAGCAUGGCAAAGGCGCGUCACUCGUUGGCGUUGCCGAUGUUUGUUGGGAGGAUGGCCGUCUGGCCUCGCCCUCCGCGGCGAGUGUCCGGGCCCGCACUCCCGGGGCGCAUCGGCCUCGGCCGCAGGCGCACCCAGAGCGUACACGUUGGGACCCGAAAGAUGGUGAACUAUGCCUGGUCAGGACGAAGUCAGGGGAAACCCUGAUGGAGGUCCGCAGCGAUUCUGACGUGCAAAUCGAUCGUCAGAGCUGGGUAUAGGGGCGAAAGACUAAUCGA